rnacentral:tRNA from 1 species
GGGUCUGUGGCUCAGCCAGGCAGAAUUAUGCCUAAAGAGAAUAAGUCGUGGGUUCAAAUCCCACCAGACCCG